rnacentral:rRNA from 1 species
UACGAAGGGGGCUAGCGUUGCUCGGAAUCACUGGGCGUAAAGCGCACGUAGGCGGCUUACUAAGUCAGGGGUGAAAUCCUGGAGCUCAACUCCAGAACUGCCUUUGAUACUGAAGAUCUUGAGUUCGGGAGAGGUGAGUGGAACUGCGAGUGUAGAGGUGAAAUUCGUAGAUAUUCGCAAGAACACCCGUGGCGAAGGCGGCUCUCUGGGACGGUACUGACGCUGAGGAGCGAAAGCGUGGGGAGCGAACAGG